CACCGAUCAAGCACAAUAGCGCCCGCCGGGCGGAGUCAUCUAUUCUCCCAUCAAAAUCAGAAUCUAUUGCAUGUAUUUUCAGGAACAAUUAAAUAUUCUUACUGGCGCACUAGGACACUAAGUAUUUUACCAUAGAGGAGAAAUUAGGGGCAACUACAUGCAACAAGGGAGCAACACUAGGAGAAGAGCCGGA